rnacentral:lncRNA from 1 species
GUUUGAAUGGGCUGACUCAAGUUGGAACAAGCAGCCCCGGAGGUGACAUUAUUAUUUCUCCUCCCCUUAGGAUAUUUAUGGUUUCACCUAUUUUUAGGAUAUCCACUUUGUUGGUCUACAAGAUUCCAAUGGAAAAUGCACUGCCUCUCUCUAAAGCUUUUUCCAUGCUAGAAAAAGCGAAACAACUGUUCAAUCUCGAGGAAUACAGCUUUUCUUUGAACACUUUGGAACAGGUAAUAUCUUUAAAUAAUACACUUAUCUGAUAGAAUUUGUGGCAAUCCCCCCCCCUCCCAAUCUUGCAGCCUUAUCAUGGCAGAAGAGUGUUCCUGAGAGGGGUCUAAGAGAAGAGCACUUGCAAUGGACAGGAAGAAUGUAUGUUCUACUGGAGUGACCCUGUAGUCUCCAUAGAGUUGCUCAAGGCAUGAAAGUCAUUCCAAACCUGUAUCUGGCCAUCAUGAACUGGGAAGAUGUGUGGAGGCAGAUCUGCUUCCUACUGCUUGGGAGAAGGCAAUGGGAAAUCACUCAUGUAUUUUAUCAAGAAAACCAUAUGGAUAGAUAAGAUGAAAUGAUUAAUGAUAUA